rnacentral:rRNA from 1 species
AUUGAACGCUGGCGGCAUGCCUUACACAUGCAAGUCGAACGGCAGCACGGGAGCAAUCCUGGUGGCGAGUGGCGAACGGGUGAGUAAUACAUCGGAACGUGCCCAGUAGUGGGGGAUAGCCCGGCGAAAGCCGGAUUAAUACCGCAUACGACCUACGGGUGAAAGCGGGGGAUCGCAAGACCUCGCGCUAUUGGAGCGGCCGAUGGCAGAUUAGCUUGUUGGUGGGGUAAAAGCCUACCAAGGCGACGAUCUGUAGAUGGUCUGAGAGGACGACCAGCCACACUGGGACUGAGACACGGCCCAGACUCCUACGGGAGGCAGCAGUGGGGAAUUUUGGACAAUGGGCGCAAGCCUGAUCCAGCCAUGCCGCGUGCGGGAAGAAGGCCUUCGGGUUGUAAACCGCUUUUGUCAGGGAAGAAACGGCUUAAUCUAAUAAAUUAAGCUGAUGACGGUACCUGAAGAAUAAGCACCGGCUAACUACGUGCCAGCCGCCGCUGUAACAC